AAUAGAUACCCUGGUAGUCCACGCCGUAAACGAUGAGUGCUAAGUGUUAGAGGGUUUCCGCCCUUUAGUGCUGCAGCUAACGCAUUAAGCACUCCGCCUGGGGAGUACGGCCGCAAGGCUGAAACUCAAAGGAAUUGACGGGGGCCCGCACAAGCGGUGGAGCAUGUGGUUUAAUUCGAAGCAACGCGAAGAGCCUUACCAGGUCUUGACAUCCUCUGACAACCCUAGAGAUAGGGCUUUCCCCUUCGGGGGACAGAGUGACAGGUGGUGCAUGGUUGUCGUCAGCUCGUGUCGUGAGAUGUUGGGUUAAGUCCCGCAACGAGCGCAACCCUUGAUCUUAGUUGCCAGCAUUCAGUUGGGCACUCUAAGGUGACUGCCGGUGACAAACCGGAGGAAGGUGGGGAUGACGUCAAAUCAUCAUGCCCCUUAUGACCUGGGCUACACACGUGCUACAAUGGAUGGUACAAAGGGCUGCAAACCUGCGAGGGUAAGCGAAUCCCAUAAAGCCAUUCUCAGUUCGGAUUGCA
rnacentral:rRNA from 1 species